rnacentral:rRNA from 1 species
UACGUAGGGUGCAAGCGUUGUCCGGAAUUAUUGGGCGUAAAGAGCUCGUAGGCGGUCUGUCGCGUGUGAAAGCCCCCGGCUCAACUGGGGAGGGUCACGCGAUACUGAUCGACUCGAAGGCAGGAGAGGGUAGUGGAAUUCCCGGUGUAGUGGUGAAAUGCGUAGAUAUCGGGAGGAACACCAGUGGCGAAGGCGACUACCUGGCCUGUUCUUGACGCUGAGGCGCGAAAGCUAGGGGAGGCAAACGGG